UGAGGAAGGAGUGGAGGCCCACAGGGCUUGCUUUCUUUUACCACUGAUGGGGAGAUGCUUGUCCUGUGUCACCUGUGUUGUUAUGGCACAUUCCUCAAUCUGAUGAGAGUUCGAAGGCCUCUGAAGCCUGAGUCUGGGUAUUAGACCUCUGCAUCCUCGCCUCCUCCCUUACACCUGAGCUGUGGCCCUUGGCCAGGCCUAGCUCAGAGCUGGAGCUUAAUGAAUAUUUGUGGAUUCAAGGAUGGAGAUGAGAACACUGAGGUGCAGAGAGGUUAAGAGACCUGGUGACAAUCUGGAGCACUGGAGGCCACCACAUAGACAGGUCUCCUCAAGAACUGACCCUCCUCUAUUCCACAUGAGUCUGUUAGGAUCCCCUAACUCUGGCCAGAGGGUCACUGCCCCUGAGCUGCAGUGAUGAGCUCAUGGAUCGGGAAUGCCAUUCUGAAACCCGGUGAUCUGGGAGGAACCAGGCCUGGCCAGUCAAAGUACUUUCUCGCCCUGACAAUGAAGACUUGCCAAGAAGUGACAUGGGACCCAUGCAGGAGGACAGAUCCCCAGAACCGGGGAGAAAGACACUCUCUUCUUUUCACUUAUGUUUCUAAGCUGGAGCUCAUGGACUAAACCUAUAAUAAGAAAACCCAAGAGCUGUUGGUUGGCCUCUACCUUUCACCCUGUGGCCUGAGGCACAGGGAAAGCUGGCUUGCAGAGAACAGAGAAUAGAGCAGAUGGACAGGGAGCAGCAAGGAAGAAACAGAGUCUUGGCAGCCUCCCAUCCAGGCCCUGAUUCUAGGUCAUUCCUAAGGUUUUGCUGCAUCCCUGACCUUGUGCUUCAGGGAAUCCAUACAAUUGCUCUUGAUAUUUGCUAAAACUCACUUCAACUGGCUUUUGCUUUUUUGCAACCCAAAGGGUCCUAACGAAUACAUGCACUGUUCUUUUUUUCUUCAGAUACCUGUGCAUAAAGAUACCUGUGCAUAAAACUGUUCCCUUCUCUCUAGUCUCAUAAAAGCAACUGCAGCCGGGUGGGGUGGCUCACGCCUAUAAUCCCAGCACUUUGGGAGGCUGAGGCGGGAGGAUCACUUGAGGUCAAGAGUUUGAGACCAGCCUGGCCAACAUGGUGAAACCCUAUCUCUACUAAAAAUACAAAAAUUAGUCGGGUGUGGUGGUGGGUGCCUGUAAUCCCAGCUACUUGGGAGGCUGAGGCUGAAGAAUUGCUUGAACCCGGGAGGCAGAGGUUGCAGUGAGCUGAGAUCUCGCCACUGCACUCCAGCCUGGGCAACAGAGUGAGACUCUGUCUCA
rnacentral:lncRNA from 1 species